UAGAGAAUCCCAUCCUGCAAAGCCCACUUGUGAGAGGGGGCAGCGAGGCAGCUGAGCUGGAGUCUGAGGCAGGAGAUGGCUGCUAGGGAGGGGCCCCCUGUGUGGGGAGAGCUGACAAACUUUAGCAAAUGUGAUGUCUGCUCUUCAUCGUGGAAAUUAUUUCUUGUCGUGCCUGUAAGUCUCUUCCUUCAAACCUAAAUCAUUUUAAAAGUUUGUUUUUCUGCAGACAUAGCAGUUUUAUGUCAAUAGUAUUUUGGUUUCCACUGCGUCUACUGAAGCAAAACAAUGCCAAUAUGAAGACAACAGCAAAAGGUGAACAAGAAAAAUAAUCCGGAAGAGGUGGAUGUUAGCAGACCCAUCAUCUCAGGAAUGGUACCCCGCAUGAUAGCAUUUGUGAUCCCAGGAGUCCUUAGAAAUAUUGGAGAUGGCUCUUGGCUUCUCGCAGUUAUGCAGAUCUUCUCCAAGGCCCAGACUUGGAGAUGUUAAUUCCGUAAGAGAAGACUCUCCUGAAGCUAUUGGUCUUCCUGGACUCUGGUCAGGGGCUGAAGAGUGACUGGCAGAGCGGAGGCAAGGCCCAGGGAGACAGGAAGCCUGUUCUGUGAUGCUUGUCUCAGGUCUGUGCAGCAACUGAAGAGAGAAGCCACAAGAGGAGGAGAAGCUUGGUGGGCUCAUCAGCAACCGCUGUUUUUGUACCUAUCUGGGAGUGGGGUUGAGAUUCUUUGACUGCCCAACAAGUGGUUUGGCUGCCAUCUUUCCCCCACUUUCCGUAGACCAUCCGCAUCAGUGGCACAAGAGGUUCCAGUCCGUUCCAGCUGACAAUAGCAUGUCCUCUCUCUUGGCCACAUCUGCCAUCACUUGCACAAAGUCCUGUAGUAGCAGGAAUACUACAUUGUAAGCUCCUGGAGCACUU
rnacentral:lncRNA from 1 species